rnacentral:misc_RNA from 1 species
CACGACGACGCAUCUACGAAGACGAUAGCGACCUCCACCAAUUCAUCCACCGACGGCCGAGAUUAGAUCAAGUGCAUGCAAGAGCCUGAUGCCAUCCGAUGCAUGAAGGAUCGAGAAGAUGAUCCUCCACCCUCCAUUUCAAAUCUGAGAAGACCGUUGCAGAUCCAGAUCCAGAGUUCCCUCUAUUUUUGCUAAUCAAGGUAUGCAUUUGAAUUUUUAGAUACUGAUGUGAGUUUCCUCUUGCAGAAAGUAAGAUCGUGUG